AUAUGCAUACAUGCUACAACACUGAUUUGGGUUUGUCCAAUAUCUGCAGUUGGGCAGAUAGAGAUAUCAAAAUAUUCUAUAGCUUAACUGCAAUUUCAAUACUGCUACUUUUCAUAAAAUAUUUUAGCCAUAAUGAAUUAAAAGUAAAUUUACUUUUUCUGGCAUUUCAAGGAAUCAUUUUGUGUUUUGAAUUGUUUGGCCCUCUGAGGUGAAAUAACAGCAUAAAUAUCUUGCAUAAAAACCAAGAUCAUCACUCUUUUUCACUGCCUAUCAAGCUGUUUGUGCUUAACCAAGCAUUUAUUUAUCAGUUCUUAAUGGUAAGGUCAUACAAGGUUACUACACCUGAGAGAAAAAUAUGUUAGACAGGCAUUCUAAUUAAUCACAAGGAGGGUUCAAGAAGGUCUAGUUUCUGCAUGUAGAAAAAUUUAUGAAGUCUAUUCCAAGUGUGGAUCAGUAAAACGGCAGCUAAUGCAUUGUUUCUUUCAGUGUCAGCUUUUGGGGACUUAAGCUUGUCAUUCUGUGCUUGAGCACACAAAGAAAAAUAUAUAAGAUUUGCCAACCCACAAUGGAUAUGUGUCAUAACAAUCCAGGGAGUGGUUGAUGGGGCAAAAGAUAAGGCUUCAACAGUAAACUUGGAACUAUUUGACCAUCUCAUGUGUUUCCUACAUCAGGCUUCCCCAACUUGAUGGCCUCCAGUUAUUUUUGACUACAACUCUCACCAUCCCUGACCAUUAGCCAUGCUUUCUGGGGCUGAUGGGAGUUUGAUUCCAAAACAUCUGGGAGGCAUGAGAAAGGUCGGUCUGCUCUGAUGGGCAGCAGCUUUCCAAUGUCUCAGGCAGAGACAUAUUUUACAGCACUUGCUAUCUUUUAAUUAGAGAUGACAGGGAUUGAACCUGUGGCCUUCUGCACUCACAGCGUGAGUUCCUCCCAUAGUCCUGUGGUUCUUUCCCUCUGAAUACAUGUUUGGAUUUGGAUUUGAUAUCCCGCUUUAUCACUACCCUAAGGAGUCUCAAAGUGGCUAACAAUCUCCUUUCCCUUCCUCCCCCACAACAAACACUCUGUGAGGUGAGUGGGGCUGAGAGACUUCAGAGAAGUAUGACUAGCCCAAGGUCACCCAGCAGCUGCAUGUGGAGGAGCGGGGAAGCGAACCCGGUUCCCCAGAUUACAAGACUACCGCUCUUAACCACUACACCACACUGGCUCUCAUGUCUUACUCUACUGAAUCUGGAUUUGAAGAACCAUCCUUAUGUGAAGCACAGGCAUCUGCCUGCAGUCAUCCUGCUUUUAUUUCCAAAUUAAAAUCAAAACAGCUUACAAAAAUGUAGUAAAAUGCAGUAAAAAGAGCUGGAUAAAACAAUUCAGCAUAAAACCAGGGAGGCAGCUGAAAAGAGAGUGAGCCAAGCAAACAUCUCUGGGGAAAUAGUUUCACAACCUGGUUCCUGUAACAGAAAAAGCCCUGUCUUGUAUCACAGCCAGUUGUAGUUCCAAAAGUGGUGGUUGGGAAGGGUUGUAUGGGAAGAGGUGGUUCUUCAAACAGUCUGGUCUCAAAAUGUUUAAAACUUUGUAGGUAAGUAACAGCACUUUGAAUUGUACUUAAACAUGAACUGGCCAGUGCAGAUGAAACAGUGACCAGAUUGCUCGCAUUGAUCCACUUUCUUAUAAAAUAUGGGAACUACCUAUGAACUCAUGUGUCUCUCCAAAAGUUUGAACUUUUGUCACCUGGAUUUCUUGAAUCACUUUCCUUCUUUUCUUCCAGUCCUAUAAGACCUGCUCUUACCCACACAGAUCCUGGAUUUCAACAGAUAUUCCAUUAACUAAAUUAAGUUUCCUGAACCUCUGUCUCCUUAUAGCUCCUCCCACUCACACACCAUCCUUAAGCCCUGAGUGGCUCUCAGAUGCCACUGGCAUUCCAGUCCUGUCCCUUCACGUUUCUAUAUAGAUCAUAGAAUCAUAGAGUUGGAAGGGACUCUGGGGGUCACUUAGUCCAACCCCCUGUAGUGCAGGAAUCCUGCCCACAGCCGUCUUGGGGUGGGCUUGAACCACCAAGCUUUUGAUUAACAGCCAGACACACAGACUCAUUGUGCCACUAUGAAACAAUGAAUGAGCAUGCAUAGCCUGUACAAUUUUUUUUUUUAAAAAGGUGAUGGUAAAUUUUUAUCUAGCAGUCUGGAAUAAACACAAUAAGAAAUCAAUAACAGCAUGUGUAUGGGAACUUGAGUUAGGGCUUAACACUGGCUCAGUCAACAAAACUGAGUGCCAUUGGUCUGUGUCUUGACAUUUCUGGGAAGCCAGGAACAUGAAUGUGAGUGCUGGGUCUCCAGAAAGGUAUGAUACUUUGUUACUGUGAGGAAAUAAUAGGUGGCAUGCUGUGAGGAAGGAUGGGAUGCAGAGGCAAUGGGAUGUAGCAGGAUGAGACCAUUCACAUGUGAGUGUGUGGGCUUAAAGAAUGUUGUGAAAUUGCCUUAUGACAUAUGUAUUCAUGUACAUUGGACAAUAUUAAAAGAGAGGAUUUGCCAGUGGUUAUAUGAAUACUAUUUUUAAAAAGCAUUUGCAACACUUGCUGGAAGCAUCAAUUGACAGUUUAUGGAAAACUCAUUUAAAUAUAUAUUUAAUUAAAAUGUUUUCUUUUAAUAGUUCUUAAGCCUUUUGAUGCACAGACUGUGUAAUUACGGUCUUUAGAAUGAUUAGAUAAAUGCUUGCUUUAUAAUUUACUUUUCCUGCAACUGUGUUUUCAUGCAGGUUAUCUUUAUCUUGGGAGGCAUAUUUCAUUUUGUGUCAGUUUACCCUCCCCCUCCAUCUACAAAAUGCUUUAUCUGCGGAAUAUGUUUAAAUAUGCAUGCUACUUCUACUAUUGGAUAAUACUGUAAUAGUACUGUUAAAAUCAACCAAAGAAAGGCAAAUUAGUUUGUUUUUGUUACAGAUGAAACUAAAUUGUUCAUUUGUUGGCCAAAAGUAAAUUACAGACUAGCAAAAAUGACUAAAAAUGUGGGUUGGGUCUUUUGUGUGAGGAAAUUACCUGAAAAAUUACUGCAUUAGGUACACUAAGCAUGGUAUUAUCAGAAUCUGGUUCACUGCCACAACAUAAAGAGAGAGCUCCCAGCAAAUUUGAGAAAAUAAGGAGGCUACAGAGGAAGCAAUUAAAAGAGAUGCCUUAAAAACUAUAAUAGACUGUUCUUUCCUCAGCACUCGUACACUCAAAGAUACCUGGGUUCUCAAACUUCUAGAACUGUACCAAGCACAAGCUACUUUCCAACUUUUCCUUGGAUGUUUCCCAUCACAAAGUUUGCUCAUAGGAGAUUAAUUCUGAGAAAUGUUAUGUAGCAGAGAAUAGCAUUAUUUUAUAACAUUUCAACAAAAAGCAAGAAGAUGCAAGAGUGAGCUAUUCCUGCCUUUGUUGCCUAGACUGCUAAUGUGUUCUUUUAAAAAGUAAGCUGGGAUGCUUAGCCGUGUGAAUCAGACAGCCCCUUCAGUGUUGCCUUACUUACUUACUUACUUACUUACUUACUUACUAGAUGUGGGGAUCCACAGUUAGGUUCCUCAUGCCACUAUUAAGAAAAACAUUGUUAUGAUCAAUGUUUAAAAUAAUAAAACUAUUCUA
rnacentral:lncRNA from 1 species